GAUGAACGCUGGCGGCGUGCCUAAUACAUGCGAGUCGAGCGAACAGACGAGGAGCUUGCUCCUCUGACGUUAGCGGCGGACGGGUGAGUAACACGUGGAUAACCUACCUAUAAGACUGGGAUAACUUCGGGAAACCGGAGCUAAUACCGGAUAAUAUAUUGAACCGCAUGGUUCAAUAGUGAAAGACGGUGUUGCUGUCACUUAUAGAUGGAUCCGCGCCGCAUUAGCUAGUUGGUAAGGUAACGGCUUACCAAGGCAACGAUGCGUAGCCGACCUGAGAGGGUGGUCGGCCACACUGGAACUGGAACACGGUCCAGACUCCUAAGGGAGGCAGCAGUAGGGAAUCUUCCGCAGUGGGCGAAAGCCUGACGGAGCAACGCCGCGUGAGUGAUGAAGGUCUUCGGAUCGUAAAACUCUGUUAUUAGGGAAGAACAAAUGUGUAAGUAACUAUGCACGUCUUGACGGUACCUAAUCAGAAAGCCACGGCUAACUACGUG
rnacentral:rRNA from 1 species